rnacentral:rRNA from 1 species
GAUGAACGCUAGCGGCAGGCUUAAUACAUGCAAGUCGAACGGGAUUCGGGGUAGCAAUACUUGAUGAGAGUGGCGCACGGGUGCGUAACGCGUAUGCAACCUACCUUUAACAGGGGAAUAGCCCCGAGAAAUCGGGAUUAAUACUCCGUAACAUUGCGGUGUGGCAUCACACUGCACUUAAAGCUGAGGCGGUUAAAGAUGGGCAUGCGUGACAUUAGCUAGUUGGUGAGGUAACGGCUCACCAAGGCAACGAUGUCUAGGGGUCCUGAGAGGGUUAUCCCCCACACUGGUACUGAGACACGGACCAGACUCCUACGGGAGGCAGCAGUAAGGAAUAUUGGUCAAUGGGCGCAAGCCUGAACCAGCCAUGCCGCGUGCAGGAAGACGGCCCUAUGGGUUGUAAACUGCUUUUGUCAGGGAAUAAACCCCCGCUCGUGAGCGGGGCUGAAGGUACCUGAAGAAUAAGCAUCGGCUAACUCCGUG